UCCUACGGGAGGCAGCAGUGGGGAAUUUUGGACAAUGGGGGCAACCCUGAUCCAGCCAUGCCGCGUGAGUGAAGAAGGCCUUCGGGUUGUAAAGCUCUUUCAGGUGGAAAGAAAUCACCACCCCGAAUACGGGUGGUGGAUGACGGUACCAUCAGAAGAAGCACCGGCUAACUACGUGCCAGCAGCCGCGGUAAUACGUAGGGUGCGAGCGUUAAUCGGAAUUACUGGGCGUAAAGCGUGCGCAGGCGGUUGUGUAAGGCAGGUGUGCAAUCCCCGGGCUUAACCUGGGAACUGCGCUUGUGACUGCACAGCUAGAGUACGGCAGAGGGGGGUGGAAUUCCACGUGUAGCAGUGAAAUGCGUAGAGAUGUGGAGGAACACUGAUGGCGAAGGCAGCCCCCUGGGCCUGUACUGACGCUCAUGCGCGAAAGCGUGGGGAGCAAACAGGAUUAGAUACCCUGGUAGUCCACGCCCUAAACGAUGUCGACUAGUUGUUCGGAGAGGAAACUUUCUGGGUAACGCAGCUAACGCGUGAAGUCGACCGCCUGGGGAGUACGGUCGCAAGAUUAAAACUCAAAGGAAUUGACGG
rnacentral:rRNA from 1 species